UACUUAAUAGCUAGCUUACAUAAC
rnacentral:rRNA from 1 species